UGGGGAAUUUUGGACAAUGGGCGCAAGCCUGAUCCAGCCAUGCCGCGUGCGGGAAGAAGGCCUUCGGGUUGUAAACCGCUUUUGUCAGGGAAGAAAUCCUUUGAGCUAAUACCUCGGGGGGAUGACGGUACCUGAAGAAUAAGCACCGGCUAACUACGUGCCAGCAGCCGCGGUAAUACGUAGGGUGCAAGCGUUAAUCGGAAUUACUGGGCGUAAAGCGUGCGCAGGCGGUUGUGCAAGACAGGUGUGAAAUCCCCGGGCUUAACCUGGGAACUGCACUUGUGACUGCACAGCUGGAGUACGGCAGAGGGGGAUGGAAUUCCGCGUGUAGCAGUGAAAUGCGUAGAUAUGCGGAGGAACACCGAUGGCGAAGGCAAUCCCCUGGGCCUGUACUGACGCUCAUGCACGAAAGCGUGGGGAGCAAACA
rnacentral:rRNA from 1 species